rnacentral:rRNA from 1 species
GUGAGGAAUAUUGCGCAAUGGAGGCAACUCUGACGCAGCCAUGCCGCGUGCAGGAAGAAGGCGCUACGCGUUGUAAACUGCUUUUAACCGGGAAGAAACCCCAGGACGUGUCCUGGGUUGACGGUACCGGAGGAAUAAGCACCGGCUAACUUCGUGCCAGCAGCCGCGGUAAUACGAAGGGUGCAAGCGUUAUCCGGAUUCAUUGGGUUUAAAGGGUGCGUAGGCGGAGCGUUAAGUCAGUGGUGAAAUCCUGCAGCUUAACUGUAGACUUGCCAUUGAUACUGGCGCUCUUGAGUGCGCUUGAAGUGGGCGGAAUGUGCCGUGUAGCGGUGAAAUGCUUAGGUAUGGCACAGAACACCAAUUGCGAAGGCAGCUCACUAAGGCGAUACUGACGCUGAGGCACGAAAGCGUGGGGAUCGAACAGGAUUAGAUACCCGAGUAGUCC